CAUGCAGUCGAGCGGGGAAGGUUGCUUCGGUAACUGACCUAGCGGCGGACGGGUGAGUAAUGCUUAGGAAUCUGCCAUUUAGUGGGGGACAACAUUCCGAAAGGAAUGCUAAUACCGCAUACGUCCUACGGGAGAAAGCAGGGGAUCUUCGGACCUUGCGCUAAAUGAUGAGCCUAAGUCGGAUUAGCUAGUUGGUGGGGUAAAGGCCUACCAAGGCGACGAUCUGUAGCGGGUCUGAGAGGAUGAUCCGCCACACUGGGACUGAGACACGGCCCAGACUCCUACGGGAGGCAGCAGUGGGGAAUAUUGGACAAUGGGCGCAAGCCUGAUCCAGCCAUGCCGCGUGUGUGAAGAAGGCCUUUUGGUUGUAAAGCACUUUAAGCGAGGAGGAGGCUACCUAGACUAAUACUCUAGGAUAGUGGACGUUACUCGCAGAAUAAGCACCGGCUAACUCUGUGCCAGCAGCCGCGGUAAUACAGAGGGUGCGAGCGUUAAUCGGAUUUACUGGGCGUAAAGCGUGCGUAGGCGGCUUUUUAAGUCGGAUGUGAAAUCCCCGAGCUUAACUUGGGAAUUGCAUUCGAUACUGGGAAGCUAGAGUAUGGGAGAGGAUGGUAGAAUUCCAGGUGUAGCGGUGAAAUGCGUAGAGAUCUGGAGGAAUACCGAUGGCGAAGGCAGCCAUCUGGCCUAAUACUGACGCUGAGGUACGAAAGCAUGGGGAGCAAACAGGAUUAGAUACCCUGGUAGUCCAUGCCGUAAACGAUGUCUACUAGCCGUUGGGGCCUUUGAGGCUUUAGUGGCGCAGCUAACGCGAUAAGUAGACCGCCUGGGGAGUACGGUCGCAAGACUAAAACUCAAAUGAAUUGACGGGGGCCCGCACAAGCGGUGGAGCAUGUGGUUUAAUUCGAUGCAACGCGAAGAACCUUACCUGGGCCUUGACAUACUAGAAACUUUCCAGAGAUGGAUUGGUGCCUUGGAAUCUAAUAC
rnacentral:rRNA from 1 species